GGGCAUGUAGCUCAGUGGAUAGAGCACCAGAUUCCGGUUCUGGGUGUCGGGGGUUCAAGUCCCUCCAUGCUCA
rnacentral:tRNA from 1 species